GAAAGCACACCAGAGAGAGAUACCAUGGGGCAAACAGUGAAAGAAGACUCAAUGGGUGUAAAGAAGGAGAAUCAAGAGAGAGCUCCUCAAUCAGGCACAUCUGUGCAAAAUGAUAAUUUUCAGUGGGAAAAAUACUUGGAAGAGACUGGAUCUUUAAGUGCUCCUUCAGAGUAUUUCAGACAGUCUAAGAUUCCACCAGCUAAUGACUUCAAAGUUGGCAUGAAGUUGGAAGCCCAUGACCCUCGCAAUACGACUUCAGUAUGUAUUGCUACAGUUGUUGGAGUUACAGGUGCCAGGCUGCGUUUAAGAUUGGAUGGUAGUGAUAACCAAAAUGACUUUUGGCGGCUGGUUGAUUCUCCAGACAUACAGCCUGUUGGGACAUGUGAAAAGGAAGGGGACUUACUUCAGCCUCCACUGGCCUUCUUGUCUAGCAGUACAGUGGAUGCAGUAGCACUGAUUGGAGGGUACACCUGCUCUUCUAGCCCAUUUCCUGCGUUCCUUGGGUACCAGAUGAACACAUCAUCUUGGCCAAUGUUCCUCUUGCGAACACUGACUGGAUCUGAAAUGGCACCUGAAGCAUUCUUUAAGAAGGAACCACCAAAGCCACCUUUAAAUAAUUUUAAAGUGGGAAUGAAACUUGAAGCUGUAGACAGAAAGAACCCUUAUCUGAUCUGCCCUGCAACUAUUGGAAAUGUUAAAGGAGAUGAAGUUUAUAUCACAUUUGAUGGCUGGAGCGGAGCUUUCAAUUAUUGGUGCAAGUAUGAUUGUCGAGAUAUUUUCCCAGUUGGGUGGUGUAACCUGACAGGAGAUACAUUACAACCACUAGGAAGUAAUGUUCUUGUUACAAAGAAUACCACAAAAACACAGCCGCCUCCUUCCAAGGCAGCUCAGCGCUCAAUGCAGUCUCCACAGAACAGUGCUAUAAUAUUACCAACACAUCAGAUUAAGAAAUCAGGUCGGCCUAAACCACCUGGAUAUCCUUCAGUCCCCAAGAAGGGAAGUUCUGUUAAGAAUACCACAACAAAGAAAAAAGGCCCACACUCAGGAAGAAAGGGAAAAUGUAUUCCUGUCAUUUGCUCCACAUCUUCAACUUCUCUAAAUGCACUGGCCAGAGAACGUGGUAACAUUUCAUAUGAUAAGGAUGCUGUCCCUGGGUCAUCUAAAAUAGUGAUGUCUACAGUCUGUGUCUAUAUAAACAAACAUGGAAACUGUGGCCCUCACCUGGAUCAGAAGAAAAUCCAGCAGCUGCCAGACCACUUUGGCCCAGGCCCUGUCAAUGUGGUGCUCCGGCAGACGGUGCAGGCCUGUGUGGAUUGUGCCAUUCAAAGUAAGACUGUUUUUGAAUUCCUUAAGCCAGAUGAUCGUGGAGGAGAAGUGAUAACCGCUGCUUUUGAUGGGGAAAUUCAUUCCAUCCAGCUGCCUCCAGUGAACAGUGCAUCAUUUGUUCUUCGCUUUCUUGAGAACUUGUGCCACAGCCUGCAGUGUGAUAACCUUUUAAGUAGCCAGCCUUUUAGCUCUUAUAGAGGUAAUACUCAUAGUCCUGAAGAGAAUGAUCAAAAUAAACCAGUAGAAGAAGAUAUAACAGAAAAGAAAAUCACCAAACGACCUUCUGAGCAACCUCUGCCUUAUGUUGCUCCUCUCUCUCCUAAGCAACCCAGAAUAAUAGUGCAUGCCUCUGAAGAGGAAGUAUUACCUUCUGAGGAAGAUGGCAUGGCCAAAGAGGAAAAGCUUUCUGAAGAGUCCAAGAAGUCACCACUUAGUUCAGCAAAUUCUUUGAGUCCUGUCAGAAAAAAUCCUAUAAGCACUCAUACUCCAGUCUCCAUGAAUGGUUCUCAAAGUGUGCCAUGCACCUCAAGCCCCAAAGUAGUGGAGACCAAAUCAUCUAUCAAGAGUAGUCAGCUUGAAGUUGAAUUUGAAAUGCAGAGGGAAAGUGAAGUUGAAGCUCCAAGUUAUAUAGCUGUACCUGACCCCAGUGUCCUGAAGCAAGGCUUCUCUAAGGACCCUGAAACCUGGUCUGUGGAUGAAGUGAUACAGUUUAUGAAACAUAAAGAUCCUCAGAAGUCAGGCCCCCUUGCUGACCUCUUCAGGCAACAUGAAAUUGAUGGGAAGGCUCUGCUACUACUCAAAAGUGAUGUGAUUAUGAAGUAUAUGGGGCUGAAACUGGGGCCAGCCUUAAAGUUAUGUUAUUAUAUUGAAAAACUUAAAGAAGGAAAAUAUAAUUGA
rnacentral:lncRNA from 1 species